CUUGCAAGUUUGAUGGCGACCGGCGCACGGGUGAGUAACACGUAUCCAACCUGCCGAUAACUCGGGGAUAGCCUUUCGAAAGAAAGAUUAAUACCCGAUGGCAUAAUAGAACCGCAUGGUUUGAUUAUUAAAGAAUUUCGGUUAUCGAUGGGGAUGCGUUCCAUUAGGCAGUUGGUGGGGUAACGGCCCACCAAACCUUCGAUGGAUAGGGGUUCUGAGAGGAAGGUCCCCCACAUUGGAACUGAGACACGGUCCAAACUCCUACGGGAGGCAGCAUG
rnacentral:rRNA from 1 species